CGGAGGGUGCAAGCGUUGUCCGGAUUUAUUGGGUUUAAAGGGUGCGUAGGCGGCCCGUUAAGUCAGUGGUGAAAGCCUCCAGCUCAACUGGAGAACUGCCAUUGAUACUGACGGGCUUGAGUACAGACGAGGUUGGCGGAAUUGAUUGUGUAGCGGUGAAAUGCAUAGAUACAAUCAAGAACUCCGAUUGCGUAGGCAGCUAACUAGGCUGUAACUGACGCUGAGGCACGAAAGCGUGGGGAGCGAACAGGAUUAGAUACCCUGGUAGUCCACGCUGUAAGCGAUGAUUACUCGAUGUCGGCGAUAAACUGUCGGCGUCUUAGCGAAAGCGUUAAGUAAUCCACCUGGGGAGUACGCCCGCAAGGGUG
rnacentral:rRNA from 1 species